rnacentral:hammerhead_ribozyme from 1 species
AUCCAGCUAACAUGUCCCGAAUAGGACGAAACGCGCGUUCUGUAU